rnacentral:rRNA from 1 species
AACCUCCGCAAUGUGGGAAGUCGCGACGGGGGGAUCCCAAGUGCCAUUCUUAACGGGAUGGCUUUUCAUUAGUGUAAAGAGCUUUUGGAAUAAGAGCUGGGCAAGACCGGUGCCAGCCGCCGCGGUAACACCGGCAGCUCUAGUGGUAACAAUUUUUAUUGGGCCUAAAGCGUCCGUAGCCGGUUUAAUAAGUCUCUGGUGAAAUCCUGUAGCUUAACUGUGGGAAUUGCUGGAGAUACUAUUAGACUUGAGACCGGGAGAGGUUAGAGGUACUCCCAGGGUAGAGGUGAAAUUCUGUAAUCCUGGGAGGACCGCCUGUUGCGAAGGCGUCUAACUGGAACGGUUCUGACGGUGAGGGACGAAAGUUAGGGGCGCGAACCGGAUUAGAUACCCGGGUAGUCCUAACUGUAAACGAUGCGGACUUGGUGUUGGGGUGGCUUUGAGCUGCUCCAGUGCCGAAGGGAAGCUGUUAAGUCCGCCGCCUGGGAAGUACGGUCGCAAGACUGAAACUUAAAAGGAAA